CGCGCCGCCCUCAGCAGCCGCCGCCGCCGCUUCUCCGGUCCCGGAUCCCCCCGCGCCCAGCUGAGGAAAUGCACGGGCGGCUCAAGCUCCGCCCCCCGGACGCGGCGCGGCGCCGGCAGCGCGAGGAGAAACUGAGGCACUACCGGGAGAGCAUGGCCGCCCUGCUGGGGGGCGUCCCCCGCCCCAGGUGCUGUCCCUGACCGCUCGGUGCUGGCCGCCAACCCCGACGUGGGC